rnacentral:rRNA from 1 species
AUUGAACGCUGGCGGCAUGCCUAACACAUGCAAGUCGAACGGAGCGGCGGCCGGGGGCUUAAUGUCUAGUCAUCUGCCUGCUAGUGGGGGACAACGUCCGUCAACGGGACAUAAUACCGCAUAAUAUCACCUGAGCUUAGGUCGUACUAGCUAGUUGGUUGGGUAAAGGCCUACAAGGGCGACGAUCAGUAACUGGUAUGAGAGGAUAAUCAGUAACACUGGAACUGAGACACGGUCCAGACUCCUACGGGAGGCAGAGGGGGGAAAUAUUGGACAAUGGGCGAAAGCCUGAUCCAGCCAUGCCGCGUGUGUGAAGAAGGUUUUCGGAUUGAAAAGCACGUUAAUUUGGGAGGCGUGACCAAAAGAAUAAGCACCGGCGAACUUCGUGCCAGCAGCCGCGGUAAUAC